CUCCACCUCCCUCCGGUGGUCUUCGUAAGUUAACUAAACUGAUUAAGUACUAUUCAGAGACAUCAUAGGACAUAGAGAGUAGAUAUCAAUGUGUGUUUUGUCUGUGAGCAACUGGGACAGAUAACUCAAACCAAGCGCGCUGUGGCUAGAGCUAAAGAAUCUGCGAAGGAGAUCGUGAAUGUGAAGUCACUGAUCGACGAGAAAGCUUGGCCGAUCAGGAUUGCUUCUCUCUCAAGUUUUUUUCAAGUUUAUCCCAACAAGGGCUUCGUACCAAGUUUGGAUAGAUGUUUAACAAAGUUUCAGCCGUGGUUUGUGUUUUUGUUUUCACAAGGUCACGGCAAAGGUGAAUGCCUCCACGCAUGUUCUUUCUUAUUGAAGCUGCCUCUUUUGGUUGAUCUUCCACAUACCAGAAUCUCACUGCGUCUGAAUCUAUUGCUUUUUUUUUCAAAGCUCAAUGGAGAUGAUGAGUUGAUAGUGUCUAUACGUAGGAGCUCCUUGCGUGCCAUAAUUGAAAAUCGUGUCAUGUGCCAGUGCUACCAAGUGGACACACAAAAGAAUGAGAAGUGUUGUUAUUCCUCUAUCAAAUCGUGAACUAUGUGCUACAAGGUGCUUCUUAACUUACUAUAGCUGCCAAGAAAUGGAUCCAGCUUCAUUGCAUCGAACAGGCUCCAAAGAAUAAAUCAGUUGGAUUUUGAUGAUGCAUGAAAAAUGUCAAAUUAUUUGUCGAGAUGACACAGACAAGAGUAAAUAGAAAUCAGUAAAGUUGGUUCAAUUGUUUCCUCCAAAGCCUCCGCAGUUUUACAUUUAACAGUCCCGGUUCUCACUCGGUUAUUGAUUUUUUAUAAUGUAAUUUAUACAGUGUUAUUAACUGUUUAGGCUUUGUCUGAUUCAAACUUUUGUAUAGCCUUAACAUAUUAUUACUACCUCAUGAAAAAUUAAAGUA